rnacentral:rRNA from 1 species
AGUGAACGCUGGCGGCGUGCCUAACACAUGCAAGUCGAACGAGAACGGGUUAUAGCUUGCCAUAACUGUCAGCUAAGUGGCGCACGGGUGAGUAAUAUAUAGUUAACCUGCCCUCGAGAAAGGAAUAACAGUUGGAAACGACUGCUAAUGCCCUAUAUGCCUUUAUGUCAUAAGACAGCAAGGGAAAUAUUUAUAGCUUGAAGAUCGGCCUGUACAGUAUCAGUUAGUUGGUGAGGUAAUGGCUCACCAAGACAAUGACGCUUAACUGGUUUGAGAGGAUGAUCAGUCACACUGGAACUGAGACACGGUCCAG